rnacentral:lncRNA from 1 species
GAAACGGGCCUGAACUCUUACAGAAGCUCUUGUGGCCCUAGGAUGAAUUUAGAGGUCUCCAUACCCAGCCUGCAAGGUGAAGAACUACCCCUAACGACCCACCCUCCCAACCUAAUGCCGGUUCUGCUCCACUUGUCCACUCUGGGGAGCUGUGCUUUGGCUUGGAAGCUCUCGGAUUGAAGGAUGGGCCCAAGACCCUCACAGGUGAAGCCUCGGUAGGUCCCAGGGAGAAGAAAGAUAUUCCUCCACCCCACCACCCCUCUAAGUCCGACCCACCUUUCUCCCCGCCAGCUGCAUCAGAUCCCUCCAGGGGCUCAUUGUCAGUCCUGUAAUCUUUUCAUCCGUGAUAGGAUGGGCCGUGGGCCCUUGUGGGUGAAGCUCGGCGGUUCCCGAGUCCAUGUGGGGUGGCCCCUGCGGAGCCUGGAGCCUUCUUGCCCGCUGGCUUGCUGAUCCCGCCGAGCCAGCUCCCUUCCUGCUUUUGACGGUGAGGGAACCAGCUGGGAGGUCCUCCGAGCUGGACGGGGAGGCGGGCGGCCUCUCCCACUCCCCACCCGCUCCCUCCCUGCCGCCGCCGCCUCCGGCUGCUCUUGCGACAAGCCAAGAAGCUGGGGCGCCUGCUGGGAGCCCAGCGCCGUCCUCCCGUUUCCUGUGAUCUACCAGUCCUCCUCUCCGCGGAGGCUCGGCCGGGGGCACCUGAGGCCGGCAGCAUCCCCGUGGCUUGGCGGCAGCUGCAACCUCCACAGACGGCCGCCAGGUGGCGCCGCGCCGGGGCCCGGGAGCAGGCGGGCCCGGGGCGGGGUUGGAGGGACUCAGCUACGCGCCUGGGGAGGCCGCGGGCCCUCGCAGACUACCGAACUUCCAUUCUGCCGCCGGGUUUUCACACCUGCCGGCCCCGAGGAAACAAUGACGUUGGGAUUUUGGGGGGCCGCCCCUUGACUCGGGCGAAUGGGACACGAACGGCGACCCCUUGCUCUCUUCCAUCCGCCUGCCGCCGUUGCUGCCCACCGACUCCUACAGCUCAUUUCUCGCUCCUGCAGGCUCCAGGAAUGCAAAUAAUUUCUCACUGGGUUUUGGCGGGGGCGCGGAGCUGCGGCGAAGCGCGCGCCCGACAGCUUUCGCCGCAGCUGGGUCCCCGGGCGCUGGCGGCUGCGGCCCCCAGAUACGGGCGGAGGCUGCAAUAUGCACAUGCGGCCACAGUGUGGCGCCAGGGGCCCGCCGCGGGACACGCUCGGAGCGCGACGCCCCAUCCCAUCAUUUACGGAUCAAACCAAAUAAUCUAGAAUCAAGUUGCUGUGUGUGUCAUACUCCUCCUGUUUUUUUUCCCUAAACUUUUAGUAGAGUCAUUUACAUAGUUCAGUUUUUACCUCAGCUGUUACACAGUGGCAGGAAAAUAUUUUGUCUCCAAACUACAGCCCAAGUAUGAGAGCAGCGUAUCCUGAAGCUAAUUAGUAACCAGAAAAUCAGGAAGGUAAAGCAAAUCUCUGGAGGCAAGAUCUGGACUCUAUGAUAUCGCCGCUUCUCCCCACUUGAAGCGUCUCUUUGCAGUGCCGCACUUGGAGAUUUGGACUUAAUCGUUAAACAAAAAGAACAGUUACAUUCUGCCUUCCUACAGGGCAGGGGCCUAGGACUGGCAGCAUUUUUGUUGUCUCUAGAAAUAGAGGGGUUAUGAGAGAGCCUCAAAAGAGAGGGCAAGAAUAACACAUCCAUUUCUCAUCAUGAGUUACCCCCUUGUAUGCCUAGAACGCGUAUGGAGACAUUCUCUUUUAGUAAAGUCAAAGAGAAAAGCCAUGAACUAAGUAUCCUGAACACAGAGGCGUGAGCCCUCUCAGUCUCACAGUCCCUUAGGAGUCAUUUGUAAGUACUAUUUCCUUCCUUAUUGUCUAUACUAUUCCCUCUUGUCUCCCUGAAAUCUACCCACUCCUGACUGUGUGUGUGUCUCUUUCUGUCUGUUUCUCUGUCUUAAUCUUCUGUACAUAUGCACCCACUCACCUUUUUACCUUGUUCUGAGAAAUAAAAUACUAUUUUUCAAACU